rnacentral:lncRNA from 1 species
UUGCUAGCAAGUGUUGUCAUGUUGACGAACAUCAUUGGACUAUUCUUCUUUCUCCUUAUUUUCCUUCUUUCCUCUUCUUACCCUUGUCUGCAACUUUUUACUGUGGAUACCAUGAUUGUCCAACAUCUAACCGUCUAAACAACCACCGUGAACCUAAAUUGGGUUUCAUCUUCUCUCAUCUUUCUUUUUUUGAUGUUUUGAUUUUUUUAUGUCAUUUUUUUGCUUUCCUUCUUACAGCUUUUUGGUUCUUGGAUUUGAAACCCCUUCUCUUUUUUUAUUGGGUGUGUUGUUGUGUUUAUGGUUUUUGGUAUUGAGGAUAUUUUUUUAUGAUUUUUUAAGCAUUGGUUGAUUUUAUAGGCGAUAGUGUAAGAGCUUACAUUUUGGGAUCUAAAGGCUUAAGAAAUGGUGAUUAAGGGCUUGGUGAUAAGCAAUAAAGGGAUUGGUGGUGUUGGUUGUGCUUGUCAACAAGGUAGGAAGUGAAAAUGAUGACUUGAGGUUAAGGGUGAUAUAUUGUGGCUAGGUGAUUAUUGCCGAGGGAUAAGAUGGAGAAUAGGAGAGGACAGAGAAAAACAUAAGGAUAAAAUAAAAUUAAUUAAUAAGAAAAAAAGGAAAAUUUGAAAAAAAAUAGAUAUAACGAUGGAGUAGAUGGAUUUAAUGGUGAAGUGAUUAAUUUGGUUAAUUUAAAUACCCAAUCAACAAAAAAAAUUAAG